AGCAGAGAGAAAGGCCACCUGAGCCGCGAAGAGUAGUCAUCAGGUCUCCCUGACCCUGGAAGGGGAGAGGACAGAGACACAGAGACACAAAUGGCCUCUCAUCGGUCACCAAGAAGAAGAAAAGAAGAAACCAUCUAGGAGAUAAAAGAAUUAACCACCAGUGAGACAUCCUUGAGAAGGUAAGAAGAUUCCUGCGAGAGAAGAGGCCUUGGACAGGAACGGGCCGGGACUUCAGCUGCCGAGGGCAGAGACAAGAGGGUGGAAUCGGUGGUAAGACGGCGAGGGGGUCUGACUGCCCGGCUUCUCCUCCUCCUCAGUGAAACAAGAGGCACAGUCAUCGGGGGAGGAAAGGGGGACAAGGGUGUGGGAGGAUUCAGGCGAGAUCAGAGGGUGUGAAAUCUUUUCUGGCAACUGGUGAAAUUACUCAAAAAGUGUAAUGAGAUGCCUGACAGAUGCCCAUCUGAGGAAGGUGGUCACAAACGGGACGUGAGUUUGGCUGGCACAUCUUGGAAUAGUUGGAAAAGCUUGUUGGCAGAAAACCAGCACUUCCACCCCGGACCUCCAGCAGGACGCCAGCCUCAAACCGAAGGCAGCCGCCACUAGAGGGCGACACAGCCCAAAGGCGAGAGACUCCCAGGCACCGAGUUCAACACCACAAAAUCUGGGCGCGAACAGACGUGGGUUUAAAUUUCCCGUGGGUUCAAAUUUCAAGUUCGAACUUCAUUUAGCUCAUUUUUGAAGAUGGAAUACUAUAAAAUACAAAAAGGCCGUGCAUAUGGACAUGUACAUAAAAAGGUCUUGAAGGCUUUACACCAAACUGGUUAACCGUGGCUCAACUCUGGCAAAAAGACGGGAGGCGGUGGGGCCAACACGCAAAAAAGACUCAGUUUCCCUUUCGGUCUACAUCCUAUGUUUUUAAGCAUUUUUCAGGAAUGCAUUCACAUAUUGUUUGUGUCACCUAAAAAUACACUGAAGAUCAGAAGAUACAAUAUAUGGAAAAUAGGCCACACUGAACAAAACUACAGGAAUGGACAAAAUAACAGACAACACAAUUCACUAUAGACAGACUCUCCAACAGCGGAUCAGGCUGGAUCCAAAACCAUCUCACCUAAUUCCAUUUUGUCCUGGAGAAAAACACCCCAAGAGAUUAACGAAUUUGCUCAAAUAACAGGGGCAAAAUUAAAAUAGCACCCAACUCUCAUUCAGGGUCCUAGUCCACGGGAAUACUUUCUCUGCUUUGUCCUCUUUGAAAACAUUAGCAUUUAGUGCUCAGCCAUUAAUUCAAUUCUCCACCCCUCCAACGUCAUAUCACCCCCCUUCUCUCUCCUCCCCCCCCACUCCUCCCAGAAAGAGAGGGGGACACAGGGAUUGUGUAUCUGAAACAGAAUGUCUUCCUUUGGUUAAAUUUAACAAAUGUUAGUCAGUAUUUUCAUCUCUUGAUAAAAAACAUCAGAA